UUGAUUCAGCUUUCUCUGAACCUGAAUUAAGGCAUCUCCCCGUGGUCCGAUGCCUCUUGAUCAGGCUAAAUGAGCUCUCAUGUUCUCAGUUCUUAUAAGUUCCUUGCAACCAUAUAUUCCAAGAAUCAAUACUGCACAAUAUAUCAAAAAAAUCCAAUCUUCGAGGAGAAUCUGCUAAAGAAACCCCUAGCAAGCGUGAAGCAAGCCAGUCGCAUGUUCCUGAAGUGGAACCUGCAGCACAUAAAGUGCCCAAAUUAGAUGCAGAAUCCAUCCACAAAGGUGGAAGCUCGACUGCGACAGGGGAGCUUCAUCUUGUCGACGAAUCAGAUGGAACUCGAUGGACAAUUCAAGACAAGACGGUAAUCGAUCUGCUUAAAAGGUACAAGUCUGCCCCUGAUCAGAAGACGAAGGAUGAAAUAGCAAAACUUCUUGAGUCAUAUGUUGCUUCGCUGACUGAAAACAGUGGAACAUCCCAAGAAUCCAAAAACAGUUCAAACAGGUGUUCAAGCCAUCAGCCUCGCAUGGCAAAGGCCUCGGAUUUGGGGAAGAUUACUGGGAACCUCCAGAAGUUGAAACUCGGCGAAAAUCCUCAGGUUUUUAUGUCAAGCACCAAGAUUCAGGCCAGCCAAUCGGAUAAGCAAUUCCAAGACUCAAAGAAAGGUGGCACAAAAGGUGAUUUAGAUGGGAAUCGCAUGGACGUGGACAAGAAGUCAAGGCAUCAGCCAUCCAUUCAAGGUUCUGGGCGUUUGCCACGAGACAAUAAAUGAUUGAAUGAAUAAAUCUUUUGAUAACCUUAAGACUUUAUGGCCAGAUACGAUCAAGGCUCUACAUGAAUAAAUCUCAGCUGUUUAUCUAACUAAUGAUGGCAUGUUUCAUGGAACUGGUAGUGCUAGUUGUUCCUCGGGGAGCAGGAGAUGAUCCUGUGCUUCUUUGUUGGUGAUAACCUCUGUGACUGUUUGCCUCUCCAAAGAGGUUCUAUGUAGAUUAUUCUUCGUUUUUCUAAUGAUUCGGGUGGUUCUAUGAUUCUAUCGAUCCCUUGUAAUAAUCAACAAUACUAUGUCUAACUUUAAACUAUAAGAUUUGGGUGUUGUUUUUUUUUU